rnacentral:rRNA from 1 species
GAUGAAUGCUAGCAGUGCGCCUGAGAUAUGCAAGUCGAGCGUUGCCUUGGAAAGAGCUUGCUCUUUUCGGGGAAGCGGCGGACGGCUGAGUAACACGUAGGUACUUACCCCUAGGUAGGGAAUAGCUCACCGAAAGGUGGGGUAAUGCCCUAUGGUCUCCAACUUUGUUGGAGUAAAGUCUUCGGACGCCAAGGGAGAGACCUGCGGCCUAUCAGGUAGUUGGUGUGAUAAUAGCGCACCAAGCCUAUGACGGGUAGCUGGCCUCAUGAGGGUGGUCAGCCAGAGGGGGACUGAGACACGGCCCCCACUCCUACGGGUGGCAG